rnacentral:rRNA from 1 species
UGGGGGAUAUUGCACAAUGGGCGAAAGCCUGAUGCAGCGACGCCGCGUGGGGGAUGAAGGCCUUCGGGUUGUAAACUUCUUUUGCUCUGAACAAGGCAUGCCUUUGGGGUGUGUUGAGUGUAGGGGUUGAUUAGCGCCGGCUAACUACGUGCCAGCAGCCGCGGUAAUACGUAGGGCGCGAGCGUUGUCCGGAAUUAUUGGGCGUAAAGGGCUUGUAGGUGGCUGGUUGCGUCUGUCGUGAAAGCUCAUGGCUUAACUGUGGGUUUGCGGUGGGUACGGGCUGGCUUGAGUGCAGUAGGGGAGGCUGGAAUUCCUGGUGUAGAGGUGGAAUGCGCAGAUAUCAGGAGGAAUACCGGUGGCGAAGGCGGGUAUCUGGGCUGUUACUGACGCUGAGGAGCGAAAGCGUGGGGAGCGAACAGG